UCAUUCGAGAGAGCCAUUCUGGGAGUGGGUGAGGCAUUGAGAGGAAGUGUCUAAGAAUGUGUCCCUACUCCCGGCCCGGGGGAAGAGCGGGGCUAUCUGGGUGAUGUCCUUUCAACUGGUCUGGCUCAGGGUCCCCCUCUGGCUGAGGAUGCAGGACACCAGGAAUGAACCCUAGUGAAAACUAUGGACUUCUAGCAACACGAGCCUCACCCAGUGGCCAGGGCCUGCCCAGGAGUUCAGCUCGGCCUUAGAAGCUAGCUGGAACAUUGGACCCACUCCUUCCCAACUCCUUGACGCUCUCACCCCAUUUCCACCCCACCUGCAGGCUUGGAGACCCUGCCUCCGUGAGCCCUAGACACCCCCCCCCAUGCUCCGCCCCAUCUUCCUGAAUCGCUUACCUAUAGAC